UUCGGACCUAGAGACCGGCGCACGGGUGCGUAACGCGUAUGCAAUCUACCUUUUACAGAGGGAUAGCCCAGAGAAAUUUGGAUUAAUACCUCAUAGUAUUAUUGAAUGGCAUCAUUUAAUAAUUAAAGUCACAACGGUAAAAGAUGAGCAUGCGUCCCAUUAGCUUGUUGGUAAGGUAACGGCUUACCAAGGCAACGAUGGGUAGGGGUCCUGAGAGGGAGAUCCCCCACACUGGUACUGAGACACGGACCAGACUCCUACGGGAGGCAGCAGUGAGGAAUAUUGGUCAAUGGGCGCAAGCCUGAACCAGCCAUGCCGCGUGCAGGAUGAAGCAUCUAUGGUGUGUAAACUGCUUUUGUACGAGAAGAAACACUCCUACGUGUAGGAGCUUGACGGUAUCGUAAGAAUAAGGACCGGCUAACUCCGUGCCAGCAGCCGCGGUAAUACGGAAGGUCCAAGCGUUAUCCGGAAUCAUUGGGUUUAAAGGGUCCGUAAGCGGUUUUGUAAGUCAGUGGUGAAAGCCCAUCGCUCAACGGUGGAACGGCCAUUGAUACUGCAAGACUUGAAUUAUUAGGAAGUAACUAGAAUAUGUAGUGUAACGGUGAAAUGCUUAGAGAUUACAUGGAAUACCAAUU
rnacentral:rRNA from 1 species